UAGUGUUCUUUAAGCAUGAUUUACAAGUUAUGUUAAACAAACCGUUUUUGUUACCACAACACUAUAAUUUUUGCCACUGAUACUGAAAAUAAAAUGAAAGAAAACUAUGCUCUCAAAUCAUAAAUAAUUGGCACAGUUUUCUUCCAGACAGUUUCUCACCUGGGCGCCCUUGGAGAGGCCAACAUCAUAGGUCAUGGUGAGAUCAGUCUUAAAAAGCCCAAAUGCGCGCUCUGAGCCCGGCCCAGGUUUCAGGUCCUCGUCGUAGAGUGCAAACAGAUAUGUAUCCACUGAUUUCCCAGGCAUCAAGGGCGUUCCCACCAGUGACCUCAGGUGCGAGAUCAGGUUCCCAUUGUAAGCCUUGGCAUUUUCAAUACUUGGGCCUACCUCGUUGCUGUCUCCUUUGUAGGGCCAGCCCGUCUC
rnacentral:lncRNA from 1 species